AAAUCUUCUAGAACAUGGCCACAUAGCCUGAAAAACCCACAAAAAACCAUGGAUGCCGGCCAAGAAAGCCUUCCACUUCACAUCAAAACAGACUGGCAGACCAUGUGGAUUCUGGGAAUGAAAAAGCAAUCCAUGCAGUGUUGUACGCCACCUUGGAUCACAUAUCAGGAGAAAGGAAUAUGCAGGGUAUGCUAACAAGACCAGAGCAUUAAAAGUGCAUAACCCAG